rnacentral:rRNA from 1 species
GAUGAACGCUAGCGGCAGGCUUAACACAUGCAAGUCGAGGGGCAGCGUGAGGGUUAGCAAUAACCCUUGACGGCGACCGGCGCAAGGGUGCGUAACGCGUGAGCAACUUGCCCUUAUCAGGGGGAUAACCGGUGGAAACGCCGACUAAUACCCCAUGGCAUUGAGUUGAGGCAUCUCUACUCAAUUAAAGAAUUUCGGAUAAGGAUAGGCUCGCGUGACAUUAGCUAGACGGCGGGGUAACGGCCACCGUGGCGAUGAUGCAUAGCCGGCCUGAGAGGGUGAACGGCCACAUUGGGACUGAGACACGGCCCAGACUCCUACGGGAGGCAGCAGUGGGGGAUAUUGCGCAAUGGGGGAAACCCUGACGCAGCAACGCCGCGUGAAGGAAGAAGGCCUUCGGGUUGUAAACUUCUGUCUUUAGGGUAAGAAGAAAGUAGACGGUACCUAAGGAGGAAGCACGGCUAACUACGUAG